rnacentral:rRNA from 1 species
UACGUAGGGUGCAAGCGUUGUCCGGAAUUAUUGGGCGUAAAGAGCUCGUAGGCGGUUUGUCGCGUCGAAUGUGAAAACUCGAGGCUCAACCUCGAGACGUCGGUUGAAACCGUACGGCUAGAGUCCGGAAGAGGAGAGUGGAAUUCCCGGUGUAGCGGUGAAAUGCGCAGAUAUCGGGAAGAACACCCGUGGCGAAGGCGGCUCUCUGGGACGGUACUGACGCUGAGACGCGAAAGCGUGGGGAGCGAACAGG